UACGUAGGGGGCGAGCGUUGUCCGGAGUACUGGGCGUAAAGCGUGCGCAGGCGGUGAUGUAAGACAGAUGUGAAAUCCCCGGGCUCAACCUGGGAACUGCAUUUGUGACUGCAUCGCUGGAGUACGGCAGAGGGGGAUGGAAUUCCGCGUGUAGCAGUGAAAUGCGUAGAUAUGCGGAGGAACACCGAUGGCGAAGGCAAUCCCCUGGGCCUGUACUGACGCUCAUGCACGAAAGCGUGGGGAGCAAACAGG
rnacentral:rRNA from 1 species